GACCAUUAUAGGCCCACACUACACUAGUUAAUUGUUUCUUCCUGCAUCCACUUGUGAAAGAGAAAUGGUCAUGGAAACAUCUGAGUGAAGGGGUUUUUAUUUUCUGUGGUUCUGGGAAAUAUUACUGUUUUCUGUUUUCUAGGUAUCUGUUUACAAAUACCAACAAAGUAGAACUUGGAAGAAACACAAGAUCAAAUCUAACGCUGACUGCAUGGAACAUGACAACUAAGUCAUUUUCCCUAGGUUCUAAAGAGAGAAGACUGUUUUCAUAAGAGGGAAAGGUCAACUCAGAAGGGCCGAGGAUUAGCAGGAGCACUAAUGGAAGAGCUUUACAAUGAAGGAGCUGAUCUGCCCUGUGCAGUGACUGACAUGUAAAUGAGAUAUCAAUUCUGAGAGAUGCAAAAGGGCAUUGUUGGUUCAGAAACUGACUGGAUAUUUUCAGCUGCACUUGAAGAUUUCACUACCUCCAAGUUUCCAGCUCAGAAAUAGCAAAUGAGUCUCAGUGCUGGGGAGGAACUGUGAAUGCAUCAUGAACUCAAAACCUCAAGUAAUACCACCAUGAAGGGAAGUUGUGGGGACAAGGACCCUGGGCUGAUGUGCCAGGUCUUGCCUUUCCAAGAAGGAACUGAAAGCCCACACAGAAUGGCUACCUUCUGAUACCCCAGACCCUCUGUGCACUGACCAAGAAGUAGGCCGUAGAAAAGAGCUUCUGGUUGCUGAUUGCAUCCUCCUGGUCUGGACUCCCGCCCUGUACUCUGUAGCCCACCAAGUUCAGGAAAGCCAUGAGGUCCUGCUGCUGCGGGGGCUUCAGCUCCCCCGGUAUUGCCAGUGGGGGCGACAGACCUCUGACCACAUCGUCACACUGCGGGAAGAGGAGAAAAAAGACAGAUACAUUAAAGCCAAAGGCCAAGCUAAGCCUCUGCCCCAUGACACACAACUGCUUACCCUUCCACCGUCUCCCAACUAAAGCAAAACCCUACAUUCUUUUCUGUUUUGAAAUUACUAGUCUCUCAUAAGGAGAGAGUAAACAGCCUUGCCUGGUACUAUUCUUUCACAGAGAAGGGAAAAGGGAUGCAGGAACUACAGAUAGAACCUUCCAGGACAAGUCAGGUUGGACCAGGGACCAGGAACAGGUGGCUACACGCAGAACUAAGGAGGGGAACAUAAAAGCAUUGUCCCAUCAUGGUUCUGCAGCUUUAAACUUGGCACACCAGCAGCCCCCAGCCACAUUCCCAGCUGGGCCCGAGGCAGCCUCAUCCAUCCACAUUGGGCCCACUGGGAGGUAGGUGGCCCUGCCAGGGAGGGUCACUUCGGCCAGCUUAGUACCACCUAGGGAGCUCUUCUCCAUUGUAACUUACACAUCAGGUGCGUUCACAGAUGAGCCCACUGGCCCCCACCAGCUGGGCAGCUUGCUUCUCCCACACCUGACAGGGCAACUGACAUUCUUUCUAAAGGGUACUGGUCUGAGAUUUCCCUCUUGGAAGGAGCUAUUUUAGGAAGUAUAAAUCAGUUGGUUUUUUGAAACAUUUGUGUUCACCCUGGAGUUAACACACCAUCCUGUGAGCUUAGCAUCCUCCAGAACACCCAGGUGUCCCGGACUGUUGGGCUAUUACAACAAUUGCAGGUUCCAUCACUGGCAGCUAAGCUCUUUUGGCACAAUCCAGUUUCAAGAGGGAAAAAUAACAUGAAUACUCUCCUGGAAACCAUAAAGCAUUGAAUCAGAAAAUCAGAGUUCAAAACUCUGAAUAAUGGGAGGGAAAAGAAAAACAAAGGAAAAACUCUCAUCUAAAUCAUCUUAAUAGUGCCCCAGCCCCCUUAGCAAAGAAUACAAAGUCUGGCAGGUUGGCAGCUAGCAUGUCCUUCACCAUUUGUACGACUAAUAGUUAAGGAACUCAACCUCCCCAGAAAACACUUUUGCUACAAAACAGAAAAACACAAAGGCCUGCUUUUUAAUCUAUUCUAAAUAGAAUAAAUUUACUUACUGGACUCUACCAGACAGCCUCCUUGUAGUGGGGUUGAAUAAUGGCCCCCCCCUCCAAAUUUCAGAGUAUGACCUUAUCUGGAAUAAGAGUCUUUGCAGAUAUAAUUAAGGUAAGGAUCUCAAGAUGAGAUACUUCUGGAUGGGAAUGGGCCCUGUAUGCCAAUGAUGAGUGUCCUUUAAGAGACAGAAAAGGAGAUGACACUGGGAAGACAGAGACUGGAUCAGUGUGGCCACAAGGCAAGGAGCAUCAGGAGCCACCAGAAGAUGAAAGGUGAGGAAGGGCUGUCCCCUAAAGCCUGUGGUUGAGAAGCAUGGCCCUGCUGACAACUCAGCUCCAGACUCCUGGCCUCCAGAACUCUAAGAUAAUAAAUUUCCAUUGUCCUAAGCCACGGAGUUUCUAGUAAUUUGUUACAACAACCCUAGGGAACCAAUCUACCAUUUGAUUUCUGACAUCAGCCACUUUUCUUCAGUUAG